rnacentral:ribozyme from 1 species
UACGUUUAACAUUUCCAUUUCCUCUUUUCUUUUCUUUUUUUCUUCUUCUUGA